ensembl:lncRNA
GUUUUCAGAAAUUAAUGUAUUUACAGUGCUUAAGGUUUGUUUAUAUAUAUAUAUAUAUAUAUAUAUAUAUAUAUAUAUAUAUUCAGUUUAAGGUGCAAUGCAAUUUCAACUCACUCAACAUGGUUCUAGCGACGUUAAGUCUGUCACUAAACAGCACAGGAAUGGUUGAUGCAGCGGUUGCUAUGGGAGAAAGCUGCAGCUGGUCAGGAUGGUCUUGUUGACCAGUGAAAAGGUGGACUUAUUACGCUGGACAGAGUCCAGACAAAAGCUCCAGCAAACCCCUUUUCAUCCUUCCUCUGCUCUCAGCGCAUUAUCCCCUCUUCUCCUUUGUUUUCAGCCGCCUGUAACCCACUGAUGCCCAAAAUCCUUGCAUGGAUGUUGAGAGAGAUGCUGGGAAGCAUGCAGAAAUCUCUUGGGAUUUCCUACAUGUUUAGUGUCUUCACACUGACAUACACUAAAAGACUUUAUGGACCUACAAAUAAAAGGAUGGCUGGCAGUAUAAUGAAAGAUUUAGUGAAGCACUUCUCCGUUCAGAUGAGCUGGCAUGCAGACACACAGCCAUCCGGUGAGAUGAACACAAUGACCUCAAGACCAAAACUAGACUCCCAGAAGCCAGAUCUUGUUUUAUGUCUCUGGCCAUCUGCUGCACAAGAGGAGCAGUGUAGUGAGGUGUCAUCUGUAACACAAACACACACACACACACACACACACUCGCUGCAUGUGUCUGUUGGCGGGUCUCUCUGGUGAGGUGUUUUGUUGUGCUGUUAAAGACAGUCUUGAAAGCUGGUACAGUGUUAUUUUAAGGAUAGAGUGGGGUGUGAAUUUGGAUGUGUGUGUGUGUGUGUGUGUGUGUGUGUGUGUGUGUGUGUGUGUUUCUUUGUGCCUUAUGCUUGGUUCAGGGAUCAGUCGCAGGAUGUUCUUGAGUGGCCAGUUCAUUCUCCAGACUUAAAUCUUUUUGAAAAUAUUUGGUGGGAUUUGAAGAAAGCAGUGGCAGCCUGAAACCCAAAGAUUACCAGUGAUCUGGAAGCUUUUUCAAGUGAGGAAUGGGUCACUUUUUGUGGCUGAUUAUUUAAUCGGCUGCAUGGUUGAAUUACAGUGUUGGAAUGGAACAUUUUGACCUUUUUAUUAGAAUGAGUAAUGCCUGCACAAGCAUGAAUCAAGAUAAAUCCAGUCAGCUGAUUACAUACAGUUAUUUGUCUCCUUCUCGUAACACUGCUUGAGGGAUCUGAUAAAGAGAAUGAACGUGAUGUACAAAAGCUAUAUAUCUCAGAAAGAUAAGACUCAAUCAGUUCCUGUGUGACUGUGACAAAUGAAAGCAGGAUAUGUAGAUCUGUGUGUAUCUGUAUGUACAACAGGAAAAGUGAAAGCAAGUGAGGGCGAGCGAGAGAGUUGUGCUCUAUAAAUGGCACGGUUUGAAGUGCACAAAUUGCAUCUGAUAAACUCGAGCACGCUCACAGCGCAUGACUUCCAUUAGAAACACUGGCUGGAGCCAUUAGCCCAUUUCUCAUGUUAAAAACUGUGUUUUGCACAGGCUUUUUAGGCGACUGCAUACAUUCCCAGCCAUUGUUUUCUAACCACUUGUUUCCAUUCCUCUCCUGUUCAGACAGUCCUCUCAUUUCUGUUUCUUCUCAUGUUCAAAUUUCCAUCGCUGCACCACAAAAUGUAAGCAAUCGAAUGCUAAAAUUCAAAACAGAGGGAGACAAUGGAUCUACAAACAUGAGUAUCGCAAACCAACACUCUCACAUUA